rnacentral:rRNA from 1 species
GAUGAACGCUGGCGGCGUGCCUAAUACAUGCAAGUCGAGCGAAGCGUGCGCGGGGGUGUAAAACGUGGAUAACCCCCCAUAAGACUGGGAUAAAUUCGGGAAACCGGAGCUAAACCGGACAUUUAUAGAUGGAUCCGCGCUGCAUUAGCUAGUUGGUAAGGUAACGGCUUACCAAGGCAACGACGCAUAGCCGACCUGAGAGGUUGACCGGCAACACGGGACCGGGGACACGGUCAAACCACCAACGGGAGGCGGCAGUAGGGAAUCUUCCGCAAUGGGCGAAGGCCUAACGGAACAACCCCCCGUGAGGGAUAAAGGCUUUCGGUUCGUAAGACUCUUUUAUCAGGGCGGCGGUACCUAAUCAGAAAGCCACGGCUAACUACGUGCCAGCAGCCGCGGUAAUUC